AUUGAACGCUGGCGGAGUGCUUUACACAUGCAAGUCGAGCGGCAGCGCGGCCUUCGGGCUGGCGGCGAGCGGCGAACGGGUGAGUAAUGCAUCGGAACAUGCCCAGUCGUGGGGGAUAACACUUCGAAAGAAGUGCUAAUACCGCAUACGUCCUGAGGGGGAAAGCGGGGGAUCGCAAGACCUCGCGCGAUUGGAGUGGCCGAUGUCAGAUUAGCUAGUUGGUGGGGUAAAGGCCUACCAAGGCGACGAUCUGUAGCUGGUCUGAGAGGAUGAUCAGCCACACUGGGGCUGAGACACGGCCCAGACUCCUACGGGAGGCAGCAGUGAGGAAUUUUGGACAAUGGGGGCAACCCUGAUCCAGCCAUUCCGCGUGAGUGAAGAAGGCCUUCGGGUUGUAAAGCUCUUUCGGCAGGAACGAAACGGUGGGCUCUAACAUAGUCCGCUAAUGACGGUACCUGAAGAAGAAGCACCGGCUAACUACGUG
rnacentral:rRNA from 1 species